rnacentral:rRNA from 1 species
UACGUAGGUGGCGAGCGUUGUCUGGAAUUACUGGGUGUAAAGGGCGUGUAGGCGGGGGCUCAAGUCGGAUGUGAAAUACCGUGGCUCAACCACGGGGCUGCAUCCGAAACUGUGCCUCUUGAGUACCGGAGAGGAAAGUGGAAUUCCCAGUGUAGCGGUGAAAUGCGUAGAUAUUGGGAGGAACACCCGUGGCGAAGGCGACUCUCUGGACCAAUACUGACGCUGAGGCGCGAAAGCGUGGGGAGCAAACAGG